GUUCUAACAGCUUGCCAUAGCUUUCUGACCCUUUUUUGUUUCUUUCCGCUUGCCAUACAGUGCACCCUCAGGACUCGCGUGCGCGGUGGGAGGAGCUAACAGGAUUGUAGAGCGUCCCGGCGCGCGCCAGAGCCACAUGUGCAGGUGAGGAGGAGGAGGAAGAGGUAGACGAGGAUGCGGGAUCGUGAGGCAGCGGCUGUCAUGGUCCACAUGGCGAAGGAGGCCGGGAGCUGCAGCAGCCUGGAAGAAAACCCGGAGACGAAGCUGCUCGGCCUGCAGUGUCUGGAUGAGGGUCUGCGGGUCUGCCCGGCGGAGAGCCCGCGCCGCUGCAGCGGGACGCGCCUCUCCUCCGGAUCAGCAGACCAUGAACCCAGCAGCAGCAGCCACAUCUCCUCAGGAACCUUUUAUAGCUGCGUCAGUCAAAUCACUAUCGGUAAGUGUGAGGCUGAGCUGGUGGGGGAAACGCUCCUGGUGUCUUGUUGUUUCUGCACGUUGUCUUGUGAUUAAAAGGGUGCGUGAGUCUGGGCUCCGCCUGCAUGAAGCUGUUUGCUCGUAUAUAGUUGUGCUGUAGUUGUUCAGCAAAGGUUAUGGUGUCCUCGUUCAUUUCUCACAUCACAGAAAAGCCAUUUUCGACCCAGCUGAGGCCUCAGAUGGGUUUUUCCUGCCGGCACAGAGACACCAACAGAUGUGGGUACUACUGAGUGACAUUCGCUCUGUUAAACCUGUGCAGGAACCGCACUUCUAAUGCUGCGUUCACAUCAAACAUAAGUCGGAAUUCAAAUUAGCUGCUGUUCGCGUUUCUAAAAGUCAGGUGAUUUCAGGGGUGGGAGGAGCUACAGCUACCCCUUUUUUCCACUAAAGUAUAGGAGAAAAAACUGUAUUAAUCAGCUUCUCCUCCAUGUUAUUUUUUUGACUCCACCCACUGAUCACGCCCUCAACACAUCACUUGUGUUUAAACAAGCCAGGAGUCUGCUGAAAAAAAUGGGGCCCAAUCACGUGGUUGCACUCUCAAUCAAAAUUGGAUGUUGUAGCCCAAUCAGGGAUCAGACAUUUAAUUCAUUGCAAUCAUGAUCAGUGUUUUAUAUUUCAAACUUAUUAUUCCAGACAAAUACUCUACUAGAAGUCUGCAUCUCAUGGAGAGAUCACCACAAUGUACUGCGGCGCUGGUUUGAGCAGGAGGGGCCAAAAUCACGUCAUCAAAGCAGGAUCAAUAACUUUAAAAAAUGUUUUGAACUGACAGCAAGUGUCUCUAUUGGGUUGUCUUAACGCAAAGAGUGACCUACAAAGAUCUUUGAACAGAAAAAAGAUCAGGUUUUUGUUUCUUUUUAAGGAGAACGGCGCUCUCCUGCUACCGACAGACAGAGACGCUGCAGCUUCAGGAAAAGAGGAUUUAACCCCUUAAGACCUUUUUUUUUAAUUCUCUUCUCAGGGCCAGUUAAGCAGAAUGAACUACUGUGGUAAGAAUGUGAUGUCCACGCAUGUGGAUGCCAGGUCUGAAGAGGUUAAAAUACAGAAACCAAUAUUCUCCAAAAAAUCAAACCGAAAGUAAUAUAUGGUUCUAUUGAUAUGAGCUAAAUAUUUGUCAUCAUCUUUCUGUGACAAAAACACUUUUGAAAGAAUGUCAUCAUUGAUUGUUAAGAAUUUUUAAUGAAGAUAGGAAUUACGUCCGAUAAAAAAAGUUCUAUAGUUUUAAAGAUACUAAAGCUAUAGUCAUCAAACUUUCUCACAUGACCAAUAAUCUAAUUAUUUUUACUAGUUAACAGUUGCACCAUUUUUACCUGAUUGAUGAAGCUACUUUUUCACAGAAGUGCUCUGUGUACGGGUUACAUGAUAAAAGGAUGUUGAUAAAAUAAAAACAGGAAAAAAACUGGGAUCUGUUUAUUAGAUUUGUUUUUAUUUUAACGUCAUUCAAAAGUAUGGGAUUGGACCUUGUAUCGGCAGAUUCUCAAAAUCACAUGGGCAACAUGUUUAGCGGGUUGGCCAAAGAUCGAAGAGCUGGCGGUUCGAACCCUGCUUUUCCUCCGACGUGGCUGCACUGUUGUGUGAAUGUGCGUGAAUGCCAGAGGGGCCGCCGGCGCACACUGGCAGCUGUGCAUCAGUGGCUUACCACCACCAAGUAUGAAUGAGGAGUAAAGGGAUAACGGAAACAAACUGUAAGCGUCUGGAAAAGCACAGAAAAAUCCAAUCCAUUAAAUGACUCGGAUAUUGGAUCAGGCCCAACAAAACCUGAAUGAGCCGUCCUCAAGAAACAGCAAAACUGUGUUUGUCUUUUUCUAAAAGCUGCAGCCGUUAGCAUGAAAAUGUCUUAUUUACUUACUGAAACAUGAUUAAGUACAGAGACCAAAGAGGCACAUGCAGACAGUGAUUUGUACUCAAUCUGCUUCACAGUAAACAGUAGGGGUGUAACGGUACACUAACAUUUCAAUUCGGUUUGGUUCAGAAUUUGUUGAUGUCCUUUUUGGAUGUUAUAUUAUAUAGAUUAUUUCUGAUUGUCAUUUUUGCUGCCAUUUUUUCGGUACAAAAAGGCAGAAAAAAUGUCUUGUAAAAUGCAUUUGUUGGUUUUAUAUAACAAUAAAUAAAAUUGACCCAUGUAGGUGAUCUGCUAUAUAAAAUAAUACAACCAUUAGCUGUCAGGAACCCAAAACUUUGGGUUUAAUAAUCUUAUAAUCUUGUAGACCUGACUGUUACAGUCGGGUGAUGCGGUUUUAAGUGCGUUAACAGAUCAGAUGUGUUACUGUUGCAUACGCUUUUCUUCGUGUAACAAUGUCGACACACAGCAUUCAACUUAUCCGACGGUCUUUUUCCUUCAUGGAUGCUGACAACAAAGCCAAAGGGUUCCCACACAGGAGAGCAUAAGGAGAUGGGGGGGUCCUCAUCUCUGGCCUCACGUCUGCGUCAGCCAUGCUGAUACUGUUGACAUGCUCACGGUCACCUCCCUCACCUAAUAGCUGUUGAACCUGAACUGCAAUGACGUUUCUGACCGUGGUCGGAAAACGCAGAGGAGAUCCUCUCCAGGGUCCAAGGUGGAUCUUCCUUCGGGGGUUCACUUCGCCGUUCAGGACCCUCAGAGCCUCCAGAGCGGGUUAAUAUAAGAACCAGUCUCCAAUCUUUUGGAGGAGACUAACAUUUUUUAUUUCUGUUCUGACAAACUGAGCAACACACCCUGAGCAAGCUCACACACAUGCUGUUGCGCUGUGCGCUCUGCCCCCCCACCCUCUCCUCUGUCCUGCACACACGCAGACACCAACUCAUUGGAGAACACAUGCUUCAGCACACACUCAUUCCACAACAUAGUGUCUCGGCGGAAACCCACGGUUAACACUAGUUCCGCCUCGGCGCAAAGUUAAUACAUUUGGGGGGGACAACAACAACAAAAAGAAAAAAGGAAAACCAAAAACGGUACAAAAGUGAACCGAACUGAAAUUGCUGCACCGAAACGGUUCGGUAUAACUACGUGUACCGUUACACCCUCAGUAAACAGCGGAUAACUGUAUGUCCUACAGUGGGUCUGUCCCUGCUUCUUCCUCCAAGAAUAAUCUUUUUCCUAAACCCACACUGCUGAACAAACCCACAGUUUUCUUGUCUUUUUGGAUGAUGAAUAGCUGUUGUGAACUCCAUACAUGUCCUGAAUCGCUGUCUGGCUGCAUGAGAGGCACAGCUAUAGCAACAUGAUGAAUACAGACAAAAACCAGUUCCACGGCCCAGCUGUGGGGAAAACAGCCUCAGUGGAACAGACAACAUUAAUUCUGUGCCGCCAUUCGAAGAACUAGCUCCAACAUGUCAG
ensembl:lncRNA